rnacentral:rRNA from 1 species
ACGUAGGGUGCAAGCGUUAAUCGGAAUUACUGGGCGUAAAGCGUGCGCAGGCGGUUUUGUAAGUCUGUUGUGAAAUCCCCGGGCUCAACCUGGGAAUGGCAAUGGAGACUGCAAGGCUAGAGUUUGGCAGAGGGGGGUAGAAUUCCACGUGUAGCAGUGAAAUGCGUAGAGAUGUGGAGGAACACCGAUGGCGAAGGCAGCCCCCUGGGUCAAGACUGACGCUCAUGCACGAAAGCGUGGGGAGCAAACAGGAUUAGAUACCCUGGUAGUCCACGCCCUAAACGAUGUCUACUAGUUGUUGGGUCUUAAUUGACUUAGUAACGCAGCUAACGCGUGAAGUAGACCGCCUGGGGAGUACGGUCGCAAGAUUA